GAGAAGUAGUGAGAGGUCCCUGGGAGCUUCCCGGGCCUGUUUCAGAUCACCUCCAGUCCCUGGCUUUUAGUGAAAGGGUCUAUGGAUUCCAGCAGGUUCAAGUUCCUAGGGCCAAAUUUCACACUUCACUGCAGCAGGUGGUGAAAAGCAACCAAGACACUGGUACCUUCUUGGUUUUGACUUUAACAGUUCUCCAUUUGAAUGAUGGUCAAGAAGAUGAAAGAGAAACCACCCCGUUUCUGGCCUACUUCUCCCACCUGCAGUUACAGUGCUCAAAGUGGUCAUCUCCUACCACCAUAAAGAGACCCUUCUGGAAGGAAGAGAUGGAAGAACACCAAGUGCUGACAACCAAUACACUGUUGGGUCAAAUGCAAAGAGGAAACUGAAUUCCUCAACAAAUCCAUUACUUGGAAACUCAUUCCAAUUUUUCAACAAGAAAAGUAAGGGAUGGAUUUUCAAAAUUAGGGGCUAUUUUGCCAGCCUUUGGAUUGUCUCUACAACGGACAUCAUCCUCAAAAAAGCCUCAGGACAGAAAAGUCUGGACAUUCCUGAGCAUAAUAAAUUGGUAUGAUGGAUCCAAAAGAAAGGCACUUUGUUGAUGUUUUAAAUUAAGUAAAAGAAAAAAGCAUUAACAAGUGUACCAAACUUGGUGACUGGAAUUAGCAAACCAGGACAUACAUCCAAAAGUGUAAUCACAAGGUCACACGUUCACAUCUCAGCAUUAGCUCUGUGUCACUGUAAAUCGCCAUGCCAGCACUUUCCCUCCUCUUCAUUUUAUUUUAUUUUUCUAAAUUUAGAGUCAUUACAAAUGCUGCUAACUCAGAUAACUUAGUACCUAUGCACAAGGAGAAUGAAUCACAGUUUCGAUGCGACCCACCAAUUUAAAUGUCUUCCCUUUGUAUAUUUCCAUUUCCAAUGACAGUAUCUCCAUCACCAUGUAUCAUUUUCUGGUGUUCAUUCUUGAGGACUUAGGCAUCUGCAUGAAUUUGCCUGAAGAAUCUCUACAUAUAUUCAUUACAAACUGUAACUUUCCUUUCGAAAAUGAUUCCAUUAAAUAAUUUUUAUACUCCCAUUUUCUUACCAAGUAAUUUAUC